rnacentral:ncRNA from 1 species
CUUCCUAUCACUGCCUCGCAGCGGGGGCCAGAUGCAUGAUUGUCACCCACCAACAGGGAACGUGAGCUGGGUUUAGACCGUCGUGCAGACAGGUUAGUUUUACCCUACUGCUGUCUGUUUUUCUACGGUAAUUUGGUUCAGUACGAGAGGAACCACCAAUUCGCAUCAUCGGUAUAGCCGGCGCCGGAAACGGCGAUGCGGCGAAGCUGGCAUGCGCCGGAUUAUAACUGAACGCCUCUAAGUUAGAAUCCAUGCCGGAAGGAAAGCCACCUACCGGGCCGGGGACGCCACGAGCAACGGUAGCACUGCCUGAGCCGCGAGCGACCACAAUUCACGGACCCGGGCCGACGAAUCCCUUGCAGACGACUUGAAUAAGGAACGGGGUAUUGUACGCGGCAGAGUGGCCUUGUUGCCACGAUCCGCUGAGAUUCAGCCUUGGUUCUGACGAUUUGU